GGCUGGUUAGCUCAGUCGGUUGGAACGUGGUACUCCUAAAGCCAAGGUCGUGGGUUCAAGCCCCACAUUGGCCA